CUGGGAGUAUCUGACAUCAGACUUCCACAGCGACCUGCAGGUUAUCUACUAACAUCAUUGUCGUCUUCGAAGAAAGAUGAAGGCCAGUGUCUACGUCCUUCUGGCGCUCCUGAGCGUCGUCAUGGUGACAGCAAGUCUUGUCGAGGUUCCUGGAGGGCUGUCAGUGCUGGAACAGUUGGGCAGCGAGCAGCAGCCAUCACAGGAAGCAGCAGCUGAGGGGUCAGACCCCGCAAAACGUAACAUCCUAUACUGGUUAGAUGCAUUUUAAAGUAAAUUUAAUAGCAAGUAAAGCGAACAGCUGCCAUCACAGGAAGCAGCAGCUGAGGGCCAGGCACUGAAAAUCAUCUUAUCAUCUUUCCCUUUGCCUGGUAGACAAAGCUCCUUCGUCUGAGUCGACGACUGGACAUAGUCCGAUGGUGACGUCACCCAGAAACCGAUAAUAAAUAAAAUUUCCUGAAUAAGUCUA